UACGUAGGGUGCAAGCGUUGUCCGGAAUUAUUUGGGCGUAAAGAGCUCGUAGGCGGUUUGUCGCGUCUGCUGUGAAAACCCGAGGCUCAACCUCGGGCCUGCAGUGGGUACGGGCAGACUAGAGUGCGGUAGGGGAGAUUGGAAUUCCUGGUGUAGCGGUGGAAUGCGCAGAUAUCAGGAGGAACACCGAUGGCGAAGGCAGAUCUCUGGGCCGUAACUGACGCUGAGGAGCGAAAGCAUGGGGGAGCGAACAGG
rnacentral:rRNA from 1 species